UACGGAGGGUGCAAGCGUUGCUCGGAAUUACUGGGCGUAAAGCGUACGCAGGCUGUCCGUUAAGUCGGGUGUGAAAGCCCGGGGCUCAACCCCCGGAAUUGCGCCCCGAAACUGACGGGCUUGAGUGCGGGAGAGGGAAGCGGAAUUCCUGGUGUAGAGGUGAAAUUCGUAGAUAUCAGGAGGAACACCGGUGGCGAAAAGCGGCUUCCUGGCCCGACACUGACGCUCAUGUACGAAAGCGUGGGGAGCAA
rnacentral:rRNA from 1 species